rnacentral:lncRNA from 1 species
CUCCAGGCUCUAAAGGUUCUGUGGCCCCUCCUCCGCCCGGCCUCAGGUCUCCCAGCAACCGUCUAAUCAAACGCAACGCUGUCCCCGCUGAGCUGAUGAGAACUAGGGCUGUCCAGGAGGCAGACACCCCGCCCCAUGGGCAAAGCGUCUCACCUUCACCCCAGAAAACAUGUCAACAGCUUCCCUGUGCCUGCACACCUAUUCACGGGCUGGAUGCUUAAGACAAAAAAGAUGUCCCUGACCACAGAGAGCCCAGUGGUCCAGUGGGAGAUCUGCUCUGGAUGAACAGAAAUGCGAGAGAAGUUGAUCCUAAGAGCAGUGCAAACACAGUCGAGCUGGAAAGGAGGACACAUCACGAGUCCAGGGAAUUAACAUGAACCACAAACAGGCCACGGGAGAGUGGAGGACCCGAAGGACCACCAUCUCCUCAUCAGGCUCUGACUCAGUUUCCUUGUCUGUAGAAUGGAUCACUGAACUAGCUCCUUGUGGACUUGAGAUGCAUUCUUCGAGCUUUGGAGUUCUAUAGGGGAGCUUGGACCAUUUCAGGGGGUAAUCGGGAGAGCAGAACAUGCGGGUCCAGCCCCCCACCCCCACUUCAACGAGAGCGAGAACUCUUAGCUGUUUUAUAUUUUGGAUUUCAGUGUGAAUUAAGUUCGUUAAAGGGUUGUACCACUUUUAAGCCCCUCUACCCUCUGUAAACUACUGGACUAGAUGAUUUCUUGGGUCUCUUCCAGCUCCGAGCUUAGAAUUGUCUCCUUUCUCUUAGAGUCAGCCCUUUCUCUACUGAGAAGGACAGAGAGAGAAACAAAUCCUGAGCUCUGAUUGCCAGUGGCCCCGUUAGGAAAUUCCACCCAAGGUCUGAUGUCCUGGGUGGACUCCUUCCCAAAUGCCCUGAGGAGUUCAGCCCCUCCGCCAAACCAGAAUAAACUGAUGAGCUGAUUCCUGGAAUUCCACUGUUAGAGCACCAUCCCUUUCAUUUAAGCCAAAGUCCCCCAAUUUUUUUUCAUGAGGAUGAAUUACAUUUCCUUUCAGUGAAUAGUGAAAAAGAGAGCUUGGGUUGCUGCCGAUAUACCUACAAGUUGUAUAAGAAGAGGGGGUUGUUAUUAUUGGCAAAGGCCAAAGUUUGGACAGCAGCCCACCAAAGGGCUCAGAGAUGUCCCAGCUAAGGCUUUCAGAGGGGAUGGAGGGUCUCCAGGGACGCCGAAGGAAAUUGUCAAGUAAUCAAAGAAUGAAUGGACAAACAAAGAGGCCAUUGCCAAAAUGGGCUUCUCUCUUGAAAGGGCCAGUGUAGAUGCUGUUAUCAGUCAUGUUUACCUUGGUGUGAGUGAAGUCUCUUAGAGCAAGAAUUGGUGGGGAGGAGGAAAGGUUUUAGAAACUAGAUGUCACUAUAUAAAAACAUAACACAAAAAGAAAGGUGACGAGGGCAAGACAGUCACUCGAAUAACUCUGUCCUGGCCUGGACCACCUGCCAUCUCCCAUCUUACCUCACCCAACCCCUAGCCUCCUCUUCACACUCUGCCUUUCUUCCCUGGAGGCCCAGCCCAGCUCAGGGCCUGGUGCUGAAAAGAGCUUUCAGGGUGAAGGGAAAGAUAUUUGGCCUGGAGCAGGUGGGGAGAGAAAGGGGGUGUCAGUCUGUGCCAUCCUGAUGGGUGUGGCCCACUCAGGGUAAACAUGGAGGAGGGGCAGUGGCUUCCAGCCUCCUGAGCGAUGGGGAGGAAGGAGUGGAAAUUCCUACCUGCCUUCUGCUCCCUUCCCCACCUGCAGCCACAGCCCUGCACGUCACAAACAAAGCUCCGGUAGGAAGUCAAGGAGUCUUUGCAAUGGCAUCUGCCCCUGCCCAGGGCCUCUGCCCUUGGCAGGAUCCAGGACAGGCCUUGGCUCCAGCCUUCAGCGCCUGGACCCCAGGACCGCCCACAGUCUCAGAGGCCUCUGCCCUGGCCCACUUCCCCGGCCCCAUUCCCCACUUAGGAGCAGCUUCUGUCUGCAAAGCCGGGGUAGGUUUAAAAAAACAAAAUCGAUAGAAACUCCAGCGGGUCUUGCACAUUCUUGGUUGAGAAGUCAGGUGUGCAACUUAGAACAACAGGCCACUUCACCUCUCUGGAUUUCAGAGUCUUCCUCAACGGACAAAAUCAGCGUGAAGACAGCUUGAAAAGUAUACAGCCCCUUUCAAGGGUCAGCAAUAAAUAUUAGGCCACUUAAUCGUGGGUUCAAAUCUUGCCUCCACCUCCCACUAGCUGGGUGCUCUUAGCCAAGUUACUAAGUUUUUGGCACCUCAGUUUGCUCAUCAGAGGUGCUCCUGUGACCUAUCUCAAAACUUUGGGAGGUGGGUUAAAUGAGAUAAUGUGUGCAAACCACCCAGCCCAGGCCCCACAGGUAGCAGAGGUUACUUGUCUAUGACUAAAUUCCCUCGAACUGGAGAUUGUAAGAUGCACCGUUGUUUUAUGUUCCACUAAGAAAGAAAUGCUGCUGUCAAUGGAUUGAGAGACACAUCUCAGAUUUCAGAGACAUGUGCACCUUAGAAUUGAUGAAAUACUGUAUCAUUGGGAGGACGAGGAGGGGGCAAGAAGAAUGUCAGUCCCGGGGCUGGCCUUGGCAAGCCAUGCUGUGGUACGUGUCCCACGUAUAAAGUAGAGGAAGAUGGGCACGGCUGUUAGCUUAGGGCCAGUCUUCCUCAGCAAAAAAGAGGAGGAUUGGUAGCAGAUGUUAGCUCAGGGCUAAUCUUCCUCAAAAAGAAUAAAAAAAAGACUGUCAAUCCCAGUGGUAGUAGCUUUCCAUUUGGGAUGCAUUUUAGACUAGGAUGCCCAGAUUGCAUCCCAAUUAAACCAUAACCUCUGGGGUGUGGCCCAGUAAUCUCUCUGUGCCUUGGUCUCCCGCUCUAUAAAACUGGGAUAAUUCUAGAAUCUACUUCUGGGGCUGUUGUAUUGAAUGAGCUAAUUCAUGUAAACAAUUUAGAAUAGUGCCAGGCCCACAGAAAUGUUGAAAUAAAUGUUAACGAUUACUCAACUCUGUACCCCAGGUCCUGGCACACUCUAGGUGCUUCCUAAAUGUGGGUUGAAUAGAGGAGUAAACACCGUCAUGUGACUGCUGCCCUGCCGGCCUGGCCCCCAACUGGGAGAGGCCCAAGUCUGGGGGCGGCCUCUGUCUGGGGGUGGGGGCCCAAGAAGAGGCUCACCUGCCCAAGGGCCUUCUGUCCAAAGUUCAAGGGAGCCGCACCCUUCCCUUCCUGGGCGCUGCACCCCGCCCCCUAGGGCUGCCGUGGGGUGGGCGCUCCCCCGCCAGACCCGCCACAGCCUCCUGGAGUCAAUGACAAGAAGCAAACCUCUCCCCCGGUCUCCACCCCUCCCCUUUCCUGCUUUUCUUAUGUUCUUUUCCAUAAAGAUUAGUCUGUGUUGCUCCUCUAUCAAGGCCUGGAGGAUAAACAUGUGGUCCAGAGGCAGAGAAACCCCAGGCUUGAAGGCCCCGCUGCCCCCACCCAGGCAGCGUAAACCCAGGGCUUUUAAGCAAGGAAUGGUUUUCAGUAAAUCUCUCCUAUCAGCAGAAACCUUUGAAAGAGUUUGUUUAAAGGCCAGGGAGAUAAACAGCAAGGAGAAGUGUUUGUUUAAGAUGUAUGUUCUGUGUGGCCACUCUGGGGCCCGGAUUCACAUCUAAGGGAGAGGAGCCACUCAGAGACCAGGGUGGGGGCCUCCCAGGGGCGCCCAGGGCCUGUGGGUGUGGACUCCAGCCCAGGCAGGGACGGAGUUGUCAGGGGAGAGAAGCGAGCUGGACUGCACCUGCAGGCCCCUCCCAGGCUGGGGCAGGACACGGGGGUGGAAAGGAGCUGCAGGAAGGGGAAGGAGCCCUCCUCACCCUGUCAGGAGGGCAGGGAGGGGCUCCCAGAAGGAGCUGCUGGUUGGCUGCAGGCAGAAAUCCCCCGGGAAGCCCGCUGCCCCGCCCCCAACUCAAAGUUCAGAACAGGCCCAGCUCAGGGCCCACCCCAGAUGGCCCAUACUCAGCAGCCCAAAAUAAAGGAGGACUCGAAUCUGGGUAUCGCAGGCUCUGACCUUGGACAAGCCACCUACCCCAUAACUCGAGCCCUAGUUCCUCUCUGUUGUGAAAAUAACACGCCUGUCUCAAAGGAUUUUGAAUAUUCCUCUUUCCAUCUGACGAACAGGCAUUGAGUACCUGCUUUAUACCAGAUACUGUUCUGAGUGCUUGGGAUACAACGGUAAACAAAAUAAACCAAGUCUCUGCCCAUUUGGAACCUAAAAUGGAGGGAAAUAGACAAUGAGCAUGAUAAUGAGUAAAUUACAUAUUACAUUAGAAGGUGAUGGGGGCCAGCCCCAUGGCCGAGUGGUUGAGUUCACACGCUCCACUUCGGCAGCCCAGGGUUUCGCUGGUUUAGAUCCUGGGCGCGGACAUGGCACCGCUCGUCAAGCCAUGCUGAGGCGGCGGCCCACAUGCCACAACUAGGAGGACCCACAACUAAAAAAAAAAAAUACACAACUAUGUACCAGGGGACUUUGGGGAGAAAAAGAAAAAAUAAAAUCUUAAAGAAAAAAAAAAAAAAAAGAGGCAGAAGGUGAUGGGAGCUAUGGAAAGAAAUGGAGCAGGGUACAAGGAAUUGGGAAUGGAUGGUCUGGUUUGGGCUAACUGAGCAGGUGGCUUUGAAGGAGAUGCAGAUCUCAGAGGGGAGAGGGGUCCAGGCAGAACCUCAGCCAGGGCAACACCUGGGGAACUGAAUGAAAUGCCCUGUGUGAAACGCAUGGCACAAGCUCUGGAGCAUGGUCCUGUGGUCAUAAAUAAUGGCGGAUGUUGUCGUUAAAGCAAUUAUUAGGGCAGGGGGGCUCUCAGGGAGGAAGCAGGACCUGAGCUGGGCUUCCCCUGGAAUUCCUUGUCCCUACCAAGUAGACAGGAGAUAAGGCAUCUCUGGAGCAAAGCAUCUUGGAGAUGGGGAGACAGGCAGACUAAUGACAGGGCUCGUGGUACCUGAGGAGUCUGGGGACAAAGGCAGCUGGAUUCUCUAGGAAAGCCCUCAGCCAGGAGCAGGAGUCUGGGCUCAGGUCCUGGCUCUGCCCCUUGCCUGCCAGGUCAUCUGGAGCAAGUGAAGUGACUUACUGCUCCCUGGGUCUUUCUUUCCAGUAAAUGGGAAUAAUAUAUCCUGCCCUCACAGGACGAUCGGGAGGAUGGAAGGGGGCACAGUGGGUGCUUGUGCCUGGGACACAGUAGAUGCUCGGUAAACAUUAGGUGUAUUUUGGGCUCUCUCAUUCUUUCAGAGUCCUUUUCGGUUCUUCCAUGGGAGGCUGAGCUGGCUGGUGAUGGGCCCAGCAGGUCCCAGAAUUGAAGAAGCUGUUGGAUCACUGAGCAUUGUCAUCAUGCAGCUGCAAGGCUGUCCCACUGGGGAAAGUUUAGAUUUGUUCCUGGGCUCCAAACGGAAGGUGGGAAUUCCAGGGAAACAGAUUUUCACUGCUCUCAGGAGGAAUUUUCCAGUAGCGAGAGCGGUGCAGCAGUGGAAUGGAUCUCUUGAGAGUUGGUGAGCUCCUGCUGAUGGGAGUCCUGUGAGCAGAGGUGGCUGAGUUUUGGAUGGAGAUUAAGCAGAGGGGCCCCCUGCUCUGGGAGGAGUUUGGGGAUCCCUCCCAGCUGUGAGAUUGGGGGCCCUAUUCGAGGCUCCACAGUCCACGGAGAUCUGCCUACACUCCAGACUUCCUCCAUUACCUCGUGAAAACUUGCCUGACUUGUGUCCUUAGGGUUCUGCCAUGAGAGGCCAGCAUAUUAGUCCUGCCAGGUAACCCAGGGGCAGUUAACAGGGUAAGGAUGUGUUAACUCAAAGGUAUGAGGAACGGAGCAAUUUCAGGCACCGUGAGAGACCGAGGGACAGAGAUGUUUGGGGAAACGUGCCGGAGUAGUUUAGCAGAUAAUUCCUAGUACCCUGCAAACUCUACCUACAAGAAGAUGAACUUCGGCUAAGAUCACAGACCUGAGGGCCCCCCUCGACCCUCCUCAAGAACCAGCAGAAGGACCAGGGGAUCUCUGGGCGCCUUCUCCCUGCCGCACAGAUGCCUUGCCAAGGAGAACUCGCUUGCCUGGCAGCUGGAAGCCUGCACUUUUCUUUUCAAAGCCUCUGCAUCUCCUUUCCCUCCUCCUUCCUCCACCCCCCCCCCCCAAAAAAGGAGGAUGCCCCUUCUGUUGAGUACACAGCCUGUAAUUUUGCUGUCAGAUCUCAGCCAGGAGGUCAGUGUUGUGACUGACUGUGUAAGGAUCGCUCCCUUAAGGGUAAUUACACUAAAUUCCCCUCUGAAGGACAGCUCUCUCUGGAUAGAAUACAAGAAAACCCCGCAUCCCCCAUUCACGGAAAUUCAUGAUUUCUGUGGUUGUCACCGGCACCCGGGCAGCGAGACACUGAGACGCUCCAACUACUCAGAGGUUGGCUUUCGGUGCCCAUCACCUGCUCUGCCCUGUACUAGGCACUGAAGGGGGACCCAGAGAUGGGCAGCAGCCCCCUCUGAAAAGAGCUGGAGGGCUCUUGGGCAAAACAAAGCAGCCCCACAUGAAAAGAUGGCAGAAAUGGCCAAGACCUUCCAAAGGGAGUAUCCGCACCUCAGCAGCCCCUGCACGGGCCCUUCUCCCCACCCCAGGGAGACCCAGCGAGAGUUGGGGAGUCACUCACCCACGACAAACAGUUAAAAGGAAGAAAGCGGGUCUGGCGAUAUCAAUGCACUUUGAUAACAAUAAACUCCGCUUUUAAUUUAUGCUAAUGUGUAGGGCUGUGGUGACAGUAAGAACUAAAUUACAGAGUGGCUUUCGAGCUGGUAAUUAUCCCUCCAUUUUUCGCUGCUCUGGAAGAUGGACACACAAUUAUGCUCUCUUGCUGUAUAUUAAUACAGAUUCUUGACAUCUUCAGCAGACCUGGAGCUGUCAUGGAGCUUUUUGUCUCCUUUAAUUGAAAAUUAAUGGUUACUGGGUUGCCACGGAAACAGAGGCCACGGACGCCAGUGGCGCUCACGUCUCACCGAGGGACUGCCGGCGUCAGGAGUCCGGAAUGACCUUGAAAGUUAAAAGAAAAAAAAAAACUUAAAAAAGAAGGGGAGAGGGGGGAAAUGAGGACAGGAGGCUGGGAGAGUGUGUCAGAGCUGAAAGAAGAGAGGAGAGAGAGAGAAGAGAAAGAAAGGAGAGAAAGGAAGAGGGAGAGAAAGGAGAGGAAAAGAAAAGAUAAGAAUUAAAAAGAGAAAAUUGCAGAGGUUGGGAGCAGGGAAGCUUGAGAGGGGACAUUAAAGUGGUAAGUUUUACCUCUUGGUUUUUGUCUCUUACAUUUUUUCUAAAGGCCCGUUGAAACACUGGGAGCUGGGUCUCAGCUCCAAAAUCCUUGAUUCUACAAAUCUGUGUGAGGAAGAAUGACAGCAUCGCCCAGAGCCCCCGAGGGGAAGUGACAAAGGCUCCUGGGUGCCAUGGGCAGCAGCAGCAGACCAGGGGGCAGGGUGGAGGUGUGCGGUGUGGGCACCUCCCCAGGGCCAAGUGGGCUGUGCUGUCGAAAACGGGGGCUGCAGAGGGGACUUUGUCAUGGGGAGCCCGGGAGCUGCCCCAACAUUGCUCCCGCAGCAGUGAGCAGGUGAAAGGGCUCUGUUGGCUGGGCCUUCAGCCUGAAGACACAACAAAAGAACUCAAAUGAGUCAGAGAUGGGGGUACGAUGACGAAGCGGGAGGGUCCUGGCAGGGGGAGGCCAGGGGUGGUUUGCCCAGGAAGAUAAGAGAUAAAGGGAGGCAGUUCUCUGAGCCUCUAGGACAGCCCUCCAGGGAGGCCAGUGGCUCUGGGCUUAGGAAUGUUUUUUCCCUAAGAGAAGGUGGCAGGCUCAACUUAGGGGCACUGGGGACCCCUGAGCAUUCUAGCAGGAAAGGUGGGCUCUUUCCUGAUCAGCCCACCAUACCAGUUCUUCAGUCCUGAGCAUCAGCUCCAGAAAUACAAUUCAAUUCAACAAUUACUGGAUGUCCACAGUGAACCAGGAGCCAAGCUAGUGCAUCAGACGCAGAGCCGGCUCCCACUCCAGGCUCGGGGCAGACAGACACAUUAACAAACAAUUGCAAAAUUAGCUACCCCUCAGAGAUUUCUCUGCAAGGAUGUUCAUCACAGUAUUGUUUAUACUAGCAAAAAUCUAGAAAUAAUCUGGAUGACCAGCAAUUGAGAAUUGAUAAAAUGACAUGCCUUACCAUAUACCCCAAAGAUGGCACUGCACAGUCAUUUUAAAUUAUACUGAAGUCAAAUUAUAUUCAGUGACCUGGGGGAAAAGUUCACAAUAUUUUGUUUAGUGAAAAAAACAGUUUACAAAAUGGUAAUGUAUUCAUGAU